UGAGCCUACGGGGCGCAGCAGUGAGGAAUAUUGGUCAAUGGUCGGGAGACUGAACCAGCCAAGCCGCGUGAGGGAGGAAGGUACAGAGUAUCGUAAACCUCUUUUGUCAGGGAACAAAGGCGGGGACGUGUCCCCGGAUGAGUGUACCUGAAGAAAAAGCAUCGGCUAACUCCGUGCCAGCAGCCGCGGUAAUACGGAGGAUGCAAGCGUUAUCCGGAUUUAUUGGGUUUAAAGGGUGCGCAGGCGGGCCUUUAAGCCGGCGGGGGAA
rnacentral:rRNA from 1 species